CUCAUUAGACCAACCUACCGGGUUUCCUACCGCACGGUGACUGCGCUGGAGUGGAGGUGUUGCCCUGGAUUUACUGGAAGCAACUGCGAGGAAGAAUGUAUGAACUGUACCCGGCUUAGCGACAUGAGUGAGCGGCUGACCACGCUGGAGGCCAAGGUCCUCUUGCUGGAAGCAGCUGAGCAGCCUUCAGGUCCAGACAAUGACCUGCCACCCCCGCAGAGCACCCCACCAACCUGGAACGAGGACUUCCUGCCAGACGCCAUUCCCAUCGCACAUCCAGGGCCCCGGAGGAGAAGACCCACAGGUCC